AGACGACGUUCAGGUAGGGAGGCCC
rnacentral:piRNA from 1 species